rnacentral:rRNA from 1 species
CGUAAAGAACCUGCCUCAUAGACUGGGACAACUAUUGGAAACGAUAGCUAAUACCGGAUAACAGUAUUUCUCGCAUGAGAGAUAUUUAAAAGUUGGUUAUGCUAACACUAUGAGAUGGCUUUGCGGUGCAUUAGCUAGUUGGUGGGGUAAAGGCCCACCAAGGCGACGAUGCAUAGCCGACCUGAGAGGGUGAUCGGCCACACUGGGACUGAGACACGGCCCAG